AAGGAGCAAUGAGAUAAAACUGCUGAGUUUCAGACCUAUUUCCGGCUUUGUAUUUCAACGAUAAAAAUGAGAAGAGAGAAGGAGAUAAUCUGCCAGAAGAUGCUACUGAGAUAAAUAAGAAGCCUGUAAUUUGGACCGAGAAUGAACACCCUGAAAACAUGAUUUAUGUCAUAUAUUCAAUUGGUUCCAACAGUGUGAAGUGACAUCACAAGCAAUGUGAACAACCAAUCUGCAAAAUAAAACAUCUUCAGGUCCAGUACUACUCAUCAACUGCAAACAGAAAACAGCUCAUGCACAAGACAACUAACCACAGGGUUGAGAAGACCAAAUUAUUAAUUGGCACUGCCCAGGAUGCUAGCUGAGUUCUGGAGUUGGUGGUCCAAAGGAAAAGAAAUCACAGGAAUUUUGAAGAAGCUGGGCCCCAGACACAGAUGAAGAAGUGGAUCUGUGCAGCACAAAGGGUUGAUUAUGGAAGCC